GACGAACGCUGGCGGCGUGCUUAACACAUGCAAGUCGAACGGAGUGGCGAACGGGUGAGUAACACGGGGGUGACCUGCCGUGCACUUCGGGCUAAGCCUGGGGAACUGGGUCUAAUACCGGUGAGUGGGGGAUGGGCCCGCGGCCUAUCAGCUUGUUGGUGGGGUAAUGGCCGACCAAGGGGGCGACGGGUAGCCGGCCUGGGAGGGUGGACGGCCACCAUGGGCCUGAGGCACGGGCCAGACGCGUACCGGAGGCAGGAGUGGGGAAUAUUGCACAAUGGGCGGAAGUCUGAUGCAGCGACGCCGCGUGGGUGAUGACGGCCUUCGGGUUGUAAACUCCUUUGACCAUCGACGCGGUAGAUGGAGAAGAAGCACCGGCUAACUACGUGCCAGCAGCCGCGGUAAUAC
rnacentral:rRNA from 1 species